rnacentral:rRNA from 1 species
UACGGAGGGUGCAAGCGUUAUCCGGAUUCACUGGGUUUAAAGGGUGCGUAGGCGGGCAGGUAAGUCAGUGGUGAAAUCCCCGAGCUUAACUUGGGAACUGCCGUUGAUACUAUCUGUCUUGAAUACUAUGGAGGUAAGCGGAAUAUGUCAUGUAGCGGUGAAAUGCUUAGAUAUGACGUAGAACACCAAUUGCGAAGGCAGCUUGCUACACAGUUAUUGACGCUGAGGCACGAAAGCGUGGGGAUCAAACAGG